UAAGUUAUAGUUUAAUUAAAAUUAAAACUUUGGGAGUUUUAGAUAUCUUUAUCGGAUUAGCUUAA
rnacentral:tRNA from 1 species